UGAGGAAUAUUGGGCAAUGGAGGAAACUCUGACCCAGCCAUGCCGCGUGAGUGAAGAAGGUUUUCGGAUUGUAAAGCUCUUUCGCACGGGACGAUGAUGACGGUACCGUGAUAAGAAGCCCCGGCUAACUUCGUGCCAGCAGCCGCGGUAAUACGAAGGGGGCAAGCGUUGUUCGGAAUUACUGGGCGUAAAGGGAGUGUAGGCGGUUAUGUAAGAUAGCGGUGAAAUGCCGGGGCUCAACCUCGGAAUUGCCGUUAUAACUAUGUAACUAGAAUGAUAGAGAGGAUAGCGGAAUACCCAGUGUAGAGGUGAAAUUCGUAGAUAUUGGGUAGAACACCGGUGGCGAAGGCGGCUAUCUGGCUAUAAAUUGACGCUGAGGCUCGAAAGCAUGGGGAUCAAACAGGAUUAGAUACC
rnacentral:rRNA from 1 species